AGAAAAUGAAAUGCUAAACCCAGAAACUCCUCUCCUUCUGUAUCCCCAUUGUUUUUACUGCAGUAGUUGUUACUUAGGCCCUUCCUCUGAAUCCUCUUCAGCAUAUAACUUUUCGACCGCUAGCCUCCACUAAACAUUCGAGCUCAUCAAAUCACCCUAUCAUUUCCAGAUCCGGACUCGUUAUUAUUAUCUCUUCUACCAUUAUUGUGAUUUCGGUCCCUAUUCACCAGAUCCUCCACUGUGUUGGGUACCUCUUCCAUCCAAUACUGUGGAUCUUCGAAUCUCCAUCCUUCUCUUCCUAACUCAUGCGCUACUCUGUUGGCUUCUCUCGGUAUGUGGCUAAACUGUAUACUUCUAAAUAUGCAAGCUUUCCUUUUUAUUUCUUGGAUGUAACCUCGGAUAGUUGAUUUGUCCUCUGAAUUCAAUGUUAGUUUCUUAAUGACUGUCAACGCGUCCCCCUUUACCUCAACCUCUUGAAAACCCAAGUCCUCUGCCAUGGUGACUGCCUGUAAACACGCUCUAGCCUCCGCAAUGGUCGGAUCUACUAUAUUUCUCCCUGGGUAAGUGCACGCUGCCAUGACCUCGCCUUCUUUGUUUCUCGCGAUAAUUCCUGACACUGAUUUAUUUUGAUUCUGCUUGAAGGCUGCAUCAAAAUUAACUUUUAUUCUGUUAUCGUUGGGUGGCCGCCAUGCUUUAUUAUUAAUCUCAUUUCUACUCUUCGUGACAUCACUCACGUGUUUGAUUUCUGCAUAAUAUGCAUUAAUGAAUUCCACUGUGUCAUGCACAUUAGCCCUGCUACCCUCAUGAUACACUUUGUUUCUAUUAUACCAAAUAUCCCAGAAGAAUAUAGUUCUUUUUAUGCACUCCUCUUCCGCAAGGUUUUCAUAUUCCACCGCUAACCAUAUAUUCCAAUUUGCUUCUGUAUUGCAUGGAGAAUUACCACAUCCUAGCUCCCGAAGAACUUGGCGAGUGAAAGAGCAGUCUCUGUAUACAUGGCUAAUUGUCUCCUCAUCUUCGUGACAUACUCGGCACAUCGUGUUAUUCACCAACCUACUAAUUUUCAAAUUAAACAGAACCGACAUAUACUUCUUAGCCACUCUCCAUAAAUGUAUACGUAUCUUGCUUGGUACCUUCAUAUCCCAAAGUCUCCUGUAAAACUUAAAUAGAAAGUUUUGUUGUAUAUUGGGUGUUUCUAUUGUAUUUCUCCAUUUGUAUCCUGUCUUUGCUGUAUAUAUCCCUGUAUUAUCCCCCCUCCAAACCAAUGCAUCUUGAAGCUCGAUGUUCACCAAUGGGAUUGCAAUAAUUCUCUGCAUUUGGUCCUCACCAAACAAUGAUCGUAUUUCCUCAUGUUUCCAGGUAACAGCCUCCCUAUCUAUUAAAUCUGACACCAUAGUAUACCUUAUAUUAAUUUGCUGACAUUAAACUCUACCAUUUCCAGCUUCAGGCAACCAUACAUCAUUCCAUAUAUUGACAUUCCGCUCGUUCCUGAUUCUCCAGCCAAUCCCAUCUUCUAAUAGGCGUCUGGCUCCCCAAAUGCUUCGCCAGGUAUACGAAGGGUAAGAACCAACUCUUGCACUCAUAAAAUCCCCUUUUGGAAAAUACUUAGCUUUCAUUACUCGUGCCAACAAACUAUCAGGUUGCAUAAUAAUCUUCCAUCCCUGUUUUGCUAACAAGGCCAUAUUAAACUUUGAUAAAUUUUUAAAACCCAACCCUCCCUUCGUUUUGGGGACGCACAUAUCGCUCCACUUACACCAAUGAAUCCCCUUAUUAUUUUUUUGGAUUACACCACCAAAAUUUACACAUUAUAUUCUCAAGAUAUUGACAAAAAGAAAUUGGUAAUUUAAAGCAUUGCAUCGCAUAAAUUGGAAUAACCUGUAAAACAGAUUUGAGAAAUACUUCCUUCCCCCCAGCCGAUAAAACCCGAAUACUCCAACUGUUUAUCAAUUUGUUAAAACGAUUUUUAAUCUCAAUGAAUGCCUUUUUUUUCCUUUGGCCCACCAUUGUAGGCAACCUCAAAUACUUUUCUUGAUUAUUAGAAAUUCUCACUCCCAAAAUAUUACCCACUCGCUCCUGUUCUUCCUAUUCAACAUUUCCACUAAAAUAAAUCAAUGAUUUGUCAAAAUUGACCAUUUUUCCUGAAAUCACUUCAUACUCAUUGAUUAUACCUUUCAUUUGGCUAGCACUAUCAGUCGAUGCCUCUCCGAACAGCAUACAAUCAUCAGCAAAAUAUAGAUACGUUAUUGAAAUAUUUCUUCUUCCUAUCCUGGCCCCUGAAAUCUUUCCCUCCCUUUUCACUUUGUCCAAUAUCCGUAAAAAACCUUCAGCACAAAUAAGGAAUAAAUACGGAUUGAGCGGAUCACCUUGUCUCAACCCUCUGUGUGACAGCCCUAAUUUGACCCUAGUCGGGAAGUGGUUUCGUGACCACAAAACCGAGUCACAAAAAUAAUUAAAUGUUAUAUUAUAUGCUUAUUAUAUGUGAAAGUGCAUGUGUGAAAGUAUUGUGUCUUAAUUUUGUCAUUUGAAUGUGGAAUUAGCUAAAAAGGACUUGUUUGAGAAACUUUGAAAAUGUGGUAGCUAAAUGUCCAAGUGAUUAAUUUUGUAAAUGACUAAAGUAGAGGAUUUGCAUGUCUAUUUUACCACUUUAUGUAAGUGUACGAUAGUGGGGUUGGUUAAUACAUCAUGUGCUUAAUAAUAAUAAUAAAUUAUAAACUUAAAUUAUGUUAUAAAAUAAUAUAUGUUAUUUUAUAACAUAAAAAUGUGGUGAUAAAAACAAAGUGGAGCUUUAUUUUUUUUUUUCUUAUCACUUAGCCGAAACUAAAGAAACUGAAGCUCUUGAAUAUUCGGUCAUUUGGGGGGAGAUAAAUUCAAGGUAAGUUCAUGGUAGUUUGGUUGAAAAUUCAUGUUUUUGAGUUCCUCUCUUGGUUUUACUUUAAACCCAUGAAUUAAUUUGUUAAAUGUUGGUUAAUUGUGCAUUCGGUCAUGAUAGGAAAUUGCAAAAAUUUUGUAUUUGAUGAUAGAAAUUGAUGAAUGAAAGUUUGAUGGACUAUAAUGUUAAAAUCUAUGUGAUUGUAAGUUUAUAAAUUUAAAUUUUGAAAUUUGAACUAUGUGUGGCUCAAUUGCUUGAAAUGGGCAUUCGGCUAUAGUAUGAAAUACAAAGAAAAUUUGGUGUUGGAUGUUUUAAAUGAUUUAGAUAGUUAUAAAUUAAGUUUGAGGCUUGGUACUUAUGUAUAGAUGGUUUAUUUAGAUAACUUGGCUUGUAAGUUUAAUGGUGAAAUUUAUGCUUUGUGAGGAUAAAUGGUUUAAAAAGGAUCAUUCGGCCAUGAUGUAAAAAUUAUGAUGAAGUGAUGUUAAAUGCUUUGAAUAUUGAGUAUAUAUUGUUAUAAGUUGAAUUUAAGGUUUGUUAAAUUGUCUUUGUCAUUGCCGAAUGUGUGUAUAGUUAAAGAAAAUUGUUAAAGUGCUUAGUUAAUUGAUAUUAAGUUAAUGGUUUGUGUAUAAAUUAUUUAAAAUAUAAACUUUGUACGAGUAUUAAAGGUUGUAUAUGAAUUCGGCCUUGGGAGGAAUUUUAGUAUAAAAUGCUUGAAUGUUAAAUAGGUUAUUGCUUUAAUGACUGAAUGUGCCAAAGGCUAAUGCAUGGACUAGUUGAUCAAUAUGUGUUAAGGGAACAUGAAUAAAUAUCUAUUUGAUGAGCUAUUUAUUUGGCUAUAUGUUUGAGAUAUGUAUAUGAAAAUAUAAAAAGCCAUAUGAGUUUUGUGUUUGUGUAUGUGAACUAGGUAUAUAAUGAAUAUUCGGCUAUGAAGGUUAAAGGUUAAGUCAUAGGAAUUUUGGUGAUAUACAUAUUCUGUCAUUAGGGUUAUAUGUACUUUGGCUAUGUGGGUUAUGUGUUAAGGUAAGUUACUUAUUUGAUAUGUGUAUUCGGUCAUAAAGGUGUACAUGAAGAAAUGUUAAAUUAAUUAUAUUAAAUUGCUUAAUGUGAUUAAAAAUGUGUAUGACCAUUUUGUAUUUGAGCUAAAAGUAGCUAUAUGACCUAUUUAAUUUCUUGUCAUAUUCGGUCAUAAGCUAGCAUGAUGAGACUUUAAUAAGUUAAAUUUGUUUGAAUUAGCUCAAGAGUAUAAAGAACCAAGGUUGGAUAGGGGAAAAGAGAAAGUAGUUGAAUAACCGAUCCGAGACUGUUCGAAAAUAUUCGAGGUAAGUUUUAAGUUGUUAAACAUAAGUAAUAUUCAAUAAUGACAUGACAUAUUUUGAGAAUUUAAUAUUAUUUGUAAUGUAUGUAUAUGGUCGAAUGGCAAAUAUAAUAUGGAAGUAUAAUGUGAUAUGCUUUUAUGAUCAAAUGAUAAGUGUUAGAUGAAUAUGAGUGAGAUGUUAUGUGUAAACUAUCAAAUGAUAAGUGUGAAUGAUGAAAUGAAAUAAAAGUGAAUAAAAUGUAGGAUGAUAUAUUCGAAUGAUGCUAGUACCUAAUUUGGUGUGAUUGUGUAAUAUGAAACUUGUUGAUUUGAAUAUCGUAUGAUACUAAUCGGGCCUUUGAGCCUAACAGGCUAUAAUGCCGGUGAGAUACUAAUCGGACCCUUGAGCUUAGCAGGCUAUAAUGCCGGUGAGAUACUAUUCGGGCCUUCGAGCCUAGCAGGCUAUAAUGCCGAUGAAAUGAUAUCGGGCUUUGAGCCUAGAAAGCAAUAUGCCGGUGGAUGAAUUCGGGUUUAAAACCUAGCAGGCUAUAUACCGGUGAUUUGAUAAAAGUCUAAGACUAAGAUACCUCGUGUUAGAACGACAAAUGAAUACAUUCAAUACGUUAAGUUGGCCAGGUACGUAUUAUGUACUUUUAUUUGAGUUUGAUUUGAAUUGAAUCAUAAGUGUAUAAUGUGAUACAUAUGUGAAUAAAUGUUAUAACUAUAUCUAUGAUCAUGAUACAUUCGGUCAAUGUGUGAAAGUAUGUGAAAGUAUUUGAUUUAUUUAUGUUAUAUGAAUUCAGAUUAAUUGAAAUAAGAAUGCUAAAUGUGCAUUAUGUGCUGCGUAUAUUCGGCCAAAUGGCAUUAUACCUAGAAAAUGGCCUAUUGAGAAAUUGAAUGAUCGAAGUAUAAUUGAGUUUAUUUGUUUGCAUUGCUUAAAACUUACUAAGCUUAUGAAAGCUUACUCCGUUUGUUACGUUUCUCUAUUUUAUAGAUUGUUGACUCCAGUCACCUGCUCGGGAGGGGAUCGUCAGCAACUCGUCACAUUAUCUAUCAUUUUGGUACUAUUAUAUUUUGGAGCUAGGAUGGCAUGUAUAGAAUAGACUUAAGUGAAUGAGAUUUUGAGAUGUUGUAGUAUAUAAGCACUAUGAAUAUGGCAACUUUUGAAUGUCUAUAUAAGUCUGAAUUUUGAUUUAUGAUUGUAUUUGGCUAUGCAUAAAAUUGCUAAUGAACUUAGGUAAAUGUGAAUGUACAAAUGUAGUGUUUUAGAUUGGUAACUCUUCAUAAUCGACUCCGGCGACGGAUACGGGUUAUAGGGGUGUUACACUCUAGCCG
rnacentral:lncRNA from 1 species